GCAGUGUAGAACUUUCAACAACUAAAUAACCCAUAAAUAACCCUGCUGACUAUACAUUUGAUUUUUGUUGGUUACAUUUAUAUAUCGCUUUUCUUGACACUCAAAGCACUUACAGCAACACGUUGUAACAUCCUCUGAACUCAUUUAUGUGGUUCUAGAGAGCUGCAGUUCUACGUCUCUUGAUCAUACAAAGGGAACUUCUGAGGCAAAGAGAGACUGUGCGCCUUCCAACGAGAAACAUCACAGCCAAUGUGCCUGUGGCUACAUCAGAACCUGUCAUGAGACACGCCAAAAGAACGAGAGUUAUUCAACUUUAUUUUGGGCGACAUCACUAAUCAUACUGAUUGUCGCAAUUUACUUCAGUUUUGGUCAUGAGAAAACAACUAAAUCCAUCCAAGCUCGGGACGCAAAAUUUCCUCGAACAAAGGUUCAGUUCAGACAGUACAGGUUUAGAACAGAGACUGCAUAUUUGUGCUCCUCUGUGAUACAUGGCAGGGUGUAUCUGGACUUGGACUCUGCGAGUCCUUUUCUGAUGGUGACUGAGGACCGCCAAUCUGCCAUCCAUCUCUCCAGCAGACUUCCCUACUCUUCACACCCCUCCCGCUUCUAUAGCCCACCCCCAGGUCCUCACCACCAACUGUGCACACUUUGGGUCUAACUACUGGCUGGUGGUGCAGGGCUACUGGGACAUCGGCGUGGCCUACCCGAGCAUCGGCAGAAACGGGAAAGGCACUAGCCUGGGAACAAAUGAUGACUCCUGGAGCCUCAAGAGCCACAAGAUGGGCAAUCUCACCGCUUACCACAACAAGAAGAAGACAAAGAUCCAAAGGCUGCUUGAAAACCCAGACAUUCAGAGAAUUGCUGUGUUUGUGGAUUUUGAAAUGGGGGCCAUACACUUUGCUGAAGUAGGACACAAACUCAGCCAUCUAUACACCUUUGAGGCUCAUCUAACCCAGUCUGUUUGCCUGGCCGUUGAUCUAUACAGUGUUGAUCCCCCGAGUUCAAUGUCUAUAGUCAGGAGUGUUUCAGACAGUGGAAUUUGAGACUUCAUCUGAUGACGGCACAUUGGUGUAAAUCGGAUUACUGUAAAGACUAAUGAAUGAGACGUGGCUGCAUACACAGCUGGAUAUGUGCGGUUUGUCAGCAAUUAUCAAGUGAGCUUUGACUUUCUUCUUGUUUGAAUCAAUCACUGAAGUUUCAUCAUUGAUGACAAACAUUACUUAACAGAAACAAUAAAUACAAACUCCACCCUUGCUUAUACGUUUACAUGUCUGUCUAUUUAUUCAUUGUGGACAGUGAUCUACAAGUUUCCAAAUAAAACAGAAAUGCAAAGAAA